CAGGAAAUAUGAGCGGUUGGUCAACACUCUGUUAGAUUGUGUUAACCAGAGAAACCUGUAAGUACCCACGAGCUGGAGACUGUAAUAUUACGUUAUAUGUUUUUAAGUUUAGUCGACUUGUAUUCUGCAUUGUUUUUAUGUUUUACUUUAACCAAUUAGCACCUUUUUUGCACUAUUUAAAACCUUCAUAAGUUAAGUGCAUGUCAGGUAUUGAUGUCUGAUUUAUCUCUAUCUCAGAAUUUUAGAAAAAAGCCCACUAUGAAUGUUCAUGCAAUGUGCGAAAAUGCAAUGCUUACACUACUUUUAUAGCAAAAUGUUGUUUUUAUAUCUACCACAAGAUGGCGGUGUUGUCACAGAUUUAUAAAGGAACACUCAAUGCACCAUAACCAUUGCAGUGUGUUGGUUAUAUUGCCAGGACUUACCUUAGACGGGUGUCAGGGAGCUUUCUAGUGUCAUAGUGCUUAAAGUGUUCUUUUAUUAACACAGAAUUUGGUGGAUGGGGAAAUCGAAAACUGUACACUUGUUCUCCCAUCCCAUUCUGCAGGAUGUUCGAAUAUGUGGGUCUCUAGGAACUUGUAAACAAGGGGUGGGGAAAUUCUCAAUACUUUAUUAACUUAUCAGUAGUUGGAAAAAUUGCCUUUACUAUAAUACAGUAUAUUUGCUAGCAUUAAACUGUAUAAAACUUGGGUUCAAAUAUUUUGUAACACAAAAACUGAUGCUGUAAGCUCCCUGCCCAGUAGUUGUAUAAUGCAAACUGUGAUAAGUGUUACGUUUUUGUAAUUUAGCAUUUGGUUAAGUUUAAAUCUCCUGUUUGAGCAUUUGUGACUCCCAUAUUUCUGAUCUCUAUUGUCCCGAUUUCAGUCCUUGGAAGUUUGAACACAUAGGCAUUGGGUUCCUUACAUUGCUGCUGAGAGAAGAUCAUGUACUUCCUGUGCGCGCCAUCAGAUACUUGGUGCAGUGUCUCAAUCAUGAUGCCCUCAUUGUGCGCAAGGUACAGUCUACUCUGUGUUUAAAUAUACAUAUUUCAUAGGAACCACAAAGUCUUAAAUGCAUUCAUUGGAAUUAUAAUUUACAUACAUUUUUAUUUUUUAUUUUUCAAGUCCAAGAGAAGAUAGGAAAAGUAAUAGUCAUGGGAAGUCGAGCCCAUGACCGUGAACUACCCUGAUCUAGGCAGUGAUAACUGUUUGUGCAUUUUAAAGGAUUUGGCGCUUAGUUUAUUUAAUGAUAAUAGUUUUUAUUUAUGAGCAGUUGUUUAUUAAAGCGAAAAUUGGCAGAAAUUGCAAGUGAAUUUCAAAUUUGACGACAAAAUAGCUCAAUCUGGGGAAGAAAACCCAAGUCAGCUGUGCUAUCAGUUUAGAUGUUCUGGUCUAAACUUUGUAAUUCACUUUGAAUUCCUGACAAGUGUCCCUUUAGUGACUAUCCAUGUAGGUAUAUAUGUAUGUAUGCUCGUAUUCGUACUCUGCCUGUUAUUUCAUCGUGUAGGUCAGUUCUAGAAUCCUGUACUGGUGACAUCAUUACCCUAACUUGCUACACUAACCAUUAGCCCUUACACUACUUUAACACUGAUCAUAUGUCCACAUAGUGUCAUAAGGGUCACAUUUGAAAUCCUGUUCAUGAUGCUAAGCAAGGGCUUCUGGGUAGAAAAAAAAAUGACAUGUCAGGUUAUAUACUAAAGUGAGUUUAAACUUUAAGACCACUGUAGCAGAGCUGAAAGAAGCAGACUUGGAGAAUGUUUCCACUUUGAAUUCUCGUUUUGGUUCAUAAUCUUAAUGGCAGGGCCCUCUUUACUUUUUGUAUUGGUAUGUUUAUAUUCGACUGUCAUUUACCCCAAUUGUCCUACAAUGCUGAAUAUGCUGGCACUUUAUAAAUAAUAAUAAUGGAGUAUGUGCAGAAUAACUAUAAAUGGCCUAUGUUUAAGCAAAUCAAAGCACAACAUAUUUAAAGAUGUAUGUCUGUGUUGAAAUUUCCUCCCAUGUGUUUUUUGUUUUUUUUAAUAUGAAUAUUUUAUUGGCAAAAGCCACCUGCUUCAUUAAUUUAUUUUGUACAUUUUACUUAAUUAUGUUAAUUUUUGUUUUGUAGAUGGCAAUCUCCACCGUUGCUGGAAUUCUAAAGCAAUUGAAGAGACCACAUGAGAAGAAAACAAUUUGUCCGUACACAAUCAGUGAGUAUAA
rnacentral:lncRNA from 1 species